UACGUAGGGACCGAGCGUUGUCCGGAAUCAUUGGGCGUAAAGAGCGUGUAGGCGGCCACUUAAGUCCUGCGUGAAAUCUUGCGGCUCAACCGCAAGCGGUCGUGGGAAACUGGGUGGCUAGAGUGCGGGAGAGGAGAGUGGAAUUCCGCGUGUAGCAGUGAAAUGCGUAGAUAUGCGGAGGAACACCGAUGGCGAAGGCAAUCCCCCUGGGCCUGCACUGACGCUCAUGCACGAAAGCGUGGGGAGCAAACAGG
rnacentral:rRNA from 1 species